AAAAAGACAAACCCUGGGUUUCCGUGUCCAACUUUGACUGUCCGUCUUAUAUGAAAUUUUUUUGUAAUUCAUAUUUUCAUUGUUGUUAGAUGAUAAAACAUGAUUAAUAUUUUAUGUGUGACUUGUCUUUUAAUUUUUUCAUAAUUAUUUGAAAUAAGACAGACGGUCAAACGUUGGGCACGGAAACCAGGGUUUGUCUUUUU
rnacentral:pre_miRNA from 1 species